AGAGUUUGAUCCUGGCUCAGGAUGAACGCUAGCGACAGGCCUAACACAUGCAAGUCGAGGGGUAACAGGAGAGCUUGCUCUCGCUGACGACCGGCGCACGGGUGCGUAACGCGUAUGCAACCUUCCCAUUACAGGAGGAUAGCCCGGGGAAACCCGGAUUAAUACUCCAUGGUACUAUAGAAUCGCAUGAUUUUAUAUUUAAAGAUUCAUCGGUAAUGGAUGGGCAUGCGUAUGAUUAGCUAGUUGGCGGGGUAACGGCCCACCAAGGCAACGAUCAUUAGGGGUUCUGAGAGGAAGGUCCCCCACACUGGUACUGAGACACGGACCAGACUCCUACGGGAGGCAGCAGUGAGGAAUAUUGGGCAAUGGGGGCAACCCUGACCCAGCCAUGUCGCGUGCAGGAAGACUGCCCUAUGGGUUGUAAACUGCUUUUGUACGGGAAUAAUGCCCUACGUGUAGGGAGCUGCAUGUACCGUACGAAUAAGCACCGGCUAACUCCGUGCCAGCAGCCGCGGUAAUACGGAGGGUGCAAGCGUUAUCCGGAUUCAUUGGGUUUAAAGGGUGCGUAGGUGGAAUUAUAAGUCAGUGGUGAAAUUUCGCGGCUCAACCGUAAAACUGCCAUUGAAACUGUAGUUCUUGAGAAAGUUCGAGGUAGGCGGAAUGAGUAAUGUAGCGGUGAAAUGCAUAGAUAUUACUCAGAACACCGAUUGCGUAGGCAGCUUACCAGGCCUUUUCUGACACUGAUGCACGAAAGCGUGGGGAGCGAACAGGAUUAGAUACCCUGGUAGUCCACGCCGUAAACGAUGCAUACUCGCUGUUGGUACGUUAUAGUAUCAGUGGCCAAGCGAAAGUAAUAAGUAUGCCACCUGGGGAGUACGUCGGCAACGAUGAAACUCAAAGGAAUUGACGGGGGCCCGCACAAGCGGAGGAACAUGUGGUUUAAUUCGAUGAUACGCGAGGAACCUUACCUGGGCUUAAAUGUAGAUUGCAUAAAGCAGAGAUGCUUUUUUCUUCGGACUAUUUACAAGGUGCUGCAUGGUUGUCGUCAGCUCGUGCCGUGAGGUGUCGGGUUAAGUCCCAUAACGAGCGCAACCCCUACCGUUAGUUACCAUCAGGUUAAGCUGGGGACUCUAGCGGGACUGCCGGUGUAAACCGCGAGGAAGGUGGGGAUGACGUCAAAUCAGCACGGCCCUUACGCCCAGGGCUACACACGUGUUACAAUGGCCUGUACAGAGGGCAGCUACCAGGCAACUGGAUGCGAAUCUCGAAAGCAGGUCUCAGUUCGGAUCGAAGUCUGCAACCCGACUUCGUGAAGUUGGAUUCGCUAGUAAUCGCGCAUCAGCCAUGGCGCGGUGAAUACGUUCCCGGGCCUUGUACACACCGCCCGUCAAGCCAUGGAAGUUGGGGGUACCUAAAGUUCGUAACCGCAAGGAGCGACCUAGGGUAAAACCGAUAACUGGGGCUAAGUCGUAACAAGGUA
rnacentral:rRNA from 1 species